AUGUGCUCCAUGAUCCGAAGGUUUGUCCAUCUAAUUGUUCACGAUGUCAAGGGUGGGGCUGGUGGUGGUGGUUACGCCCUGCGGAACAUUGAUACCAAGCCGCUCUUUGCGGGUAUUGGUGGUGGCAGCACGAGUAUGGCAGUCACUACUCGAUUACCACGCCCAGCUGCCUUCUUUGAGUCUGCUAACACGGACAAUAACAAUCACACAGAGUUUUUCCUCCUCGGCAGCAAAAUUGUUAGUGUCAACAUGAACCGGCGCACAGUCUUGUAUGACAGUUUGACUUCGGGUAUAUCUGGUGGACCUGACCUGCGGCAUUGUAAGUUCGUCCACCCUGCCUGGGCAGCAAUACGAGGCAAGCUCUACAUCACCAACAUGUUGCCACACAACUACGGCAAGCCCUGUUUAGAGGCACUGCGUUUCGACGACGAGCUUGAGGAUUGGCUGUGGGAUCUGCUCCCCUCGCCGCCCUUCUUUGACGAGCCGUUCAGGAGUGAUAACACCAUACAGUGUUACGCAGCCGGGGAUGAAGAGAAGAUGUGGAUAUCAACAUUGGGCAGAGGCACCUACACCUUCGAUGCCGCUACUGCCACAUGGUGCAAAGAAGGUGGCUGGACGCUGCCUUUUGAAGGCCGAGUGCAAUAUAUACCUGAGUAUGGCAUCUACUUUGGAUUCUCCAAGAGAUUGAACAAGCUGUGCUCGGCUGAGAUGAUCGCUGGAGCUAAGGCCUCGGAGCCCCCGGUGCACAAGCAAGUAUGGGACAAUGUUGAUGUUUACGUUGGUGAGGGUUGGCAUUUGGCCCAUUCUUACCUCACCUAUCUUGGUGAGGGCAAGUUCUGCGUUACAAGGUUCUAUGACACUAGGCGUGAAUGGGAUGACUGGUGCAUUCCUCUGAGCAAUGUUGCUGUCAUGUCGGCUCUCGAAAUGAGACUUGAUGCCAACACAGGCGAGCUCAAAAUGAUCAGAGGGGCUUCCACCCGUUACAAGUUCCCCGACGCAGUGCACGGCUGGGCUCUGUGA
rnacentral:rRNA from 1 species